rnacentral:tRNA from 1 species
GGAGAGGUGGCUGAGUGGCUGAAAGCGGCACCCUGCUAAGGUGUUAUACCGGUAACGGUAUCGGGGGUUCGAAUCCCCCUCUCUCCG